UACGUAGGGGGCUAGCGUUGUCCGGAAUCAUUGGGCGUAAAGCGCGUGUAGGCGGUCCGGUAAGUCCGCUGUGAAAGUCGGGGGCUCAACCCUCGGAUGCCGGUGGAUACUGUCGGGCUUGAGUACGGAAGAGGCGAGUGGAAUUCCUGGUGUAGCGGUGAAAUGCGCAGAUAUCAGGAGGAACACCAAUGGCGAAGGCAGCUCACUGGGACGGUACUGACGCUGAGACGCGAAAGCGUGGGGAGCAAACAGG
rnacentral:rRNA from 1 species